rnacentral:tRNA from 1 species
AGCUCAGUGGUAGAGCACAUGCUUAGCAUACAUGAGGUCCUGGGUUCAAUCCCCAG